CCUCUAGUGGUGUAGUGGUCAGCACGAGAAAAGUUACGGAUAGGUAUUCAUACAACACCGAAGCUCAACGUUUGAUUCCCACUUGGGAGGAGACGGUUUUUCGAAUGAAAAAUUUGCCGGAUGGUCUUUCAACUAGACCGAGUGUUGUUCCUUAUCUAUCUCGUUCUUUUCUAGGGUCUGGUUCAAGUCCAGGCUAGGGGU